ensembl:lncRNA uncharacterized LOC111924122
CUGACCUCUGUUGGGCACUGAACUGAUGAUUACAUGGCUCUGAAGCCCAACAUCUAUAUCUUAAUAUAUUACUUCAAGAUAAUUUCCAAGGGGUAAUAAUUAGAAGUAUGACAUUUGAUCUAAAAAAUCUUGGAAAUAUUUUUUUCUCAGUGAGAACAUCAAUUCACCUUUAUCUCCUCUGAACUUCUUUUUAGUAAUUUUAUUGCUGCUGCUCAGUAUCAUAGGCUCCUUUUGCAGCUCUUUGCAAUUGACCCUUACUUUUACCACCCUUAAUAGCUUUGUAUUUGCAGCAAGUUUUAUCACUUCAUUUUAUCACUUCUACAGUGAAAAUUGGCCAUUUGCUCUUUACUGUGUUUGAACAUGUACAUAGGAAUGAUUAAUCUGUUAUUGAUGUGGUGAUUAAUUUAUGCCCUGAAGCAGGGGCAAAUGUUGAUUUCAUAAACUGCUUAUGAAAUGGAAAACCUUGUGGUUCCAUGAUGCGGCUACAAAGAUAGCAAAGGAACUGACCUUAUAAUGAUGUCUUGAAUUUAGUGAGAUUUUUCAUUAAUUUGCUAAAAUUGGAAUGUUUUUGAAGAGAUAAUACAACAAGCUUGGACAAUAAUAGAUCUUUUGUAUUUCAGGAGAAAAUGAAGUUCCAUCUGAAGAUGCCCUAAUACUACAACUGCAUCUCGCAAAAGGACAUGAGAAAUUCACUGAAAUGCUAAAAAGCCAACAGCAGAUCAUUGUUGAUUUGCAGCAAAAACUUGCUGAACAGCAGCAUGUGUUGGUUAGCCAGCAACGGGAGAUUCUUGAACAGCAAAGAAAAAUGUAUGAGCAAAUGGAUCUGAUCAAAGUCCAGUAUGGCAUGCUUUUUGAUACAGUGAAACAAAUGUCAUUUCAGAGUUUGCAAGAAGAUAUUCAAAAUUAUUUUGAAAGUCAUCUUCAUGGACUUCAAAACCAGGUCAGAAAUCAUCUCCAGAAGUCAUACUCUGUGGACAAAGUAGAAGUGGAUGCAAAAGUGAUUAAUGUUGGGGAGUCUUUGCUGGACUGUGGCCUUUGUGAAAGUGAUGAAUUUUGCAAUUUCCAAAAGACACCUUCACAAUGUGAAAAAUGCACAUUGUGUCCUGCUGGUUUUUUCCAAAUGACUGAGUGUUCUGCAAACUCUGAUCGGAUUUGCCAGGACAGAGAUGAGUGCACUGAAUCUCCAAGCAUUUGUGGUGAGAGGAUAAAAUGCCUCAAUACUCCAGGUGGUUUCCGAUGCCUUGGAAUUGCUGAGAAAGAUGCAGCUUUGGGAAUGUGUGGAGAGGAACAUUUCUUUAAUAAGGAAAUGCAGGAAUGCCAAGCGUGUUUAAAGUGUGAAGAUGGAGUGGUGGCUGUGCCUUGUUCUGCUGUCAGUGACACGGUUUGUUCAGCAGCCAGUGAAAACAAGCUCUCAGAGUCUUGGGCUGCAAACAUUGUUCUGCCCUCCGUAAAGUCUGGCAUCUCUCAGGUCUACUCUGGCUUGAGCUUGAAGAUCAAGGGAAAGCUUCCCUGUGAUAUCCUGUCCACUGAAGAGAGCAGCCUGGUAUUCAGGCAACAUGGUCUGUUGUGGACUGACUUAAAUUUUGCAGUAAAGCAUAACUGUAGGAACUUUUUGCAACUUUCCUUAAAGCUCAACGGCAGUGAGGAAGACUAUGAACUGAGCGGUGUUCGGAUCGAGCAGCCAGAAGGAAAGUAUUUCCAGAGCACUAGUUUAAGUAGUGCUGCUGAAGUGGAGCCCAGCCAAACUCUUUCUGUGUAUUUGAGGAGCCCUAAUCAAUUCUGCAAUCAAAGCAAAGACUUAAAUAUUUAUGAUCUUAAUACCCCGCUCAGUUUGUUUUGGUUGUCCCAUGACACAGGUGCCGUGGCACUCCGUGCGCAGAUGUCAACAGCGAUGCAUUACCAGACCAACUAUCGACCUACCUUUAAAAUAAUUUCUGUUUCUGACCCUUAUAUGCUAAGUUUGUCUCAUGAUGGCAGAGCUAUAAAGUUCACUGAAACUGGUGUUGUCAAAUUUGUGUUUCAUCAAGCAUUGUAUUCCAUGGGUCAUACGUGUGUCCGGGAGGGCUUCUCCUUAAUUUCUUACAUCAAUAGGAAUGGUACCAACAGAGAAUUAAUGAAUGUAUUUAAAUCUGGGGUAAAUUACAGAGACACAUCAAUAUCUGCUUCUGGGGCCACAAAGGUUGGUGCUGGAGAUCUGGUUAGCUUUGAGAUACUUUCUCCUGCACAGUGUAAUGUUCGCUAUUUUGGAGAUAGUUCUGGAAUUAGUAUGUUUAGCCUCAUCUGGAUCCCUUCAGCAGUUUCUAGUGCCAUAUCAGCCACAGUUUCUGUUACAGCUCUGCCUACUGGAGCUGUGAGGAACAAACUACUGGAUUUCACACAGGUCUCUUCCAAUGAGAAACAGAUACAACUGGUCUCUUCUGGACAGCUUGCUCAGAAGUAUUUUAUUUUUACUGAAAAGGGAGUUGCCAGCAUUGCGUUUAACUUAAAGCUAAUCCAUUCCUGCAAUGUGCUCAAAGUGACUCUCAAUCAGCUGACCACGGAUCACAUGCAGCCCACUGCAGUUGCUCAGCAGAUUGGAGGUCAGAUGCCAGAGGGAAGCAUAUGGACCAGCGUGUCCCUCCGUGCAUCUUUUGAAGUACAUAAUGGAACAUUGGUAUCAGUUUCUCUUGACUGUGUGCGUGGAAGGAUCAAUCAGAUCACUCAUGAACAUGGAACCAGUAUAUCUAUUUUAUGGAUUUCAUCUUAAUUUCUGUGCAGUGAAGUUAGCAUGGAAUUGGGAUUUCAAUUGUAUUUGGAAUCUACUCUGAUUCUAUACAUAUUUGACACUAUACUGUGUCGACUUGAGCGGAUAAUCCCACAGAAUGCUUUCAAUUUUAGGAAUAUUUAAAUAUAAUCUUAACUGAAUGAUCACUAUUUAAAGAAAGCAAGAGCUUUCAGUCAGGAUUUUAAUUCUGCUACCAUCUUCAGACAGGGGAAUGUCAAACUCCCUUAUUUUUAAUAAAACAGCCUCUUAAAAUUGAUUAUUUCUGGAC